UACGGAGGGUGCAAGCGUUGUUCGGAAUUACUGGGCGUAAAGCGCGUGUAGGCGGUCGCUUAAGUCUGAUGUGAAAUCCCUCGGCUUAACCGGGGAACUGCGUCUGAUACUGGAUGGCUUGAGUUCGGGAGAGGGAUGCGGAAUUCCAGGUGUAGCGGUGAAAUGCGUAGAUAUCUGGAGGAACACCGGUGGCGAAGGCGGCAUCCUGGACCGACACUGACACUGAGGAGCGAAAGCCAGGGGAGCAAACGGG
rnacentral:rRNA from 1 species